GAAAAAAGAGGCUGCUGGGUAGCCAAGAGAUGACUGCCUAUUCUCUAACACAAGAGUUCCUACAAAACCCUAUUAAUUAAUUAAUAACUCUUGGCAAAAAUGAAUAGGCAAAUCAUUCUUGGCUCCAAACAACACUCUUAUCC
rfam:Ricinus communis cultivar Hale ctg_1100012357495, whole genome shotgun sequence.